rnacentral:rRNA from 1 species
GACGAACGCUGGCGGCGUGCCUAAUACAUGCAAGUCGAACGCUUCUUUUUCCACCGGAGCUUGCUCCACCGGAAAAAGAGGAGUGGCGAACGGGUGAGUAACACGUGGGUAACCUGCCCAUCAGAAGGGGAUAACACUUGGAAACAGGUGCUAAUACCGUAUAACAAUCGAAACCGCAUGGUUUUGAUUUGAAAGGCGCUUUCGGGUGUCGCUGAUGGAUGGGCCCGCGGUGCAUUAGCUAGUUGGUGAGGUAACGGCUCACCAAGGCCACGAUGCAUAGCCGACCUGAGAGGGUGAUCGGCCACAUUGGGACUGAGACACGGCCCAAACUCCUACGGGAGGCAGCAGUAGGGAAUCUUCGGCAAUGGACGAAAGUCUGACCGAGCAACGCCGCGUGAGUGAAGAAGGUUUUCGGAUCGUAAAACUCUGUUGUUAGAGAAGAACAAGGAUGAGAGUAACUGUUCAUCCCUUGACGGUAUCUAACCAGAAAGCCACGGCUAACUACGUGCCAGCAGCCGCGGUAAUACGUAGGUGGCAAGCGUUGUCCGGAUUUAUUGGGCGUAAAGCGAGCGCAGGCGGUUUCUUAAGUCUGAUGUGAAAGCCCCCGGCUCAACCGGGGAGGGUCAUUGGAAACUGGGAGACUUGAGUGCAGAAGAGGAGAGUGGAAUUCCAUGUGUAGCGGUGAAAUGCGUAGAUAUAUGGAGGAACACCAGUGGCGAAGGCGGCUCUCUGGUCUGUAACUGACGCUGAGGCUCGAAAGCGUGG